UCCAUCAUUCAAGCACACAUACACACGGGAAGGGGAGAGAUCGAGAAAGAGAGUGACGAAUUGAGCAAGAAGGUGUUAGCAGUAUCGUGUUUUCUUUCCAUUCGUGGCUGUGAAAAGAAUUCUCAACAUCUCCAGGUAUAGAUCGACGAUCUCUGGAUAUUAAUCCCUGUGGUUCCUUGUUUGUUAGCAUCAUCAGAGAUUCGAGGUAUCCAGCUGACUUAUACAAAAUAGUGAAAAUCAAACCUGUGCUGGACCGGCGUUGCACUAACUUCCCUCGCCGUCCAGUUGGGUUGCCUUUUAAUCCAUAAGCAGCAGUGAAAGCUGAGAAACUCUUUAUAGCGUCUCUUACACAUAUCGAGUCUGUUUGGCUCCAGAAAAAAAGAUGAUUUGUACUUGGAAGUGGUCAACCGUCAGUUGCAGAUCUUGGCUUAGUGAGAUUAUGCAACUUGAGGUCUAUUUGCAAUUGAAGCGAAAGGAGGUAAAAUAAUGUCUUUGGAUAAACAAAUCUUCUGAAUGUGUUGAUUGGCAUAACAAAAAGGCAAACAUCAGUUAGAUUCAUUGGUGAGGUAUUUUGGAGCGUCUUGUUUCCAUGGAUGCAAAGUGAUUUAUUUUUUCUCGGUUUAGAAGCUUCACUUUUCGGAUGAUUUACUGCACAUCCUCUCAAGCACAUUGUCUUAUAUUGACUCUCCAUAUCUAAGUGCACACGAUGGAAGAAUUAAAACUAUCUGAAAAUCAUUUGAAGUGUCCUAUUUAGACUUUCUCAAAUCAUUUUGGUAAGCAACCUCAGUGGAAGCUUUUGAAAGAAAUGUUCAUGCAGGAAAGAGUAAAAAAGAAAAGCUGAAUAUUUUUCCCAAAUCAUUCGUAGUCUUAUCUCAUUGUCUUCCUAUGAUGCCACGACAGAAAGGUGCCCAGAUAGAGACUACAAAGAAUUCUGAAGCAUGGGUCCUCGAAAGUGGACGCAAUCCAGAUACAUAUGUUUUAAAGGUUCAGAAAACAUGAUAUAGGCAGCGUUAUUUGAAUUUGAUGCUGAAUACAGAGGUUCGACACAUAUUUAAUACCCCUCAAAGAUCAUAACUUUUAUUUGGAGCUUUCUUGAUAAUCGUAGAGACUCCCAUGAUGAACAUGAUUGCUGGUGGGGCAGCUGCACGUCCAUUUGUAACCCACCACAAAGAUUUGAAUAUUCUAGAGUCUCAAGGGCUACAUAUGUGAGAAUUUAGUUCGAAUGCUGAUAAAUCAUCAUUCAAAGUUUUAAAUAAUAUGCAUAAUUCAACUGAUUUGAAGUUUUAAAUAAUGUGCAUAAUUCAACUGAGUCAGUGACGGAUACUGUGUCAAACACUAUUUUGACAAAAACAUAUGUUGCUGAAGGACAAAAUGGAUAUGCAGUUGGUAAAUCAGUAGAGGUUAAUCUACUGGAUGAAAGGACAUUGCUGGCUGCAUAGUUCGCACAACUCAAGCUAGUUCUGGUGGUAGAAUGAGUAUUAGUUCUACAGUUAGUAAUAGUUGAAUAGUGUGUAAGUUGUUUUUGGAUUCUGUCACUUCCUCCUCUUAAUAUAUAGUUGUUUUUUUCUUUGGUCUAUUGAUUUUUUGAUUCUAGUUCGUAAUGCGCCUCAGAAUCAUUCCAUCUAUCAUUUAUCUCAUCCAUAACAAUGUGCAGUUUCCUAUAUUGACUUAUUUGGAUACAUGGACUUAUCAUAAUUUUGCUUCUUUUGACACCUUUUUAAAUAAAUAAAGUAUAUUCUUCAUUCCAACAUAUGGAAUACUCCGUUUUGAGAUAACAAAAUAUUUGACCCUAAUAUGUUUCUAAAAACAAAGUCACAUCUUUCACGAACUCAAAUUCUUUGGAUUGUUCAAAUCUUAAACUUUGAUGUGAUGUUUUCUCUAUCACAGUAGUGUGUUGUACCAUCUAUUUAGUAGUUACUUUCACUAUUACUAAUAUAACAUAUAAGUCAAAUUUAAAUAUUUUUUCAGUGAAAUAACGCGAUGUUAAAUAGGAGUGAGAGAAUAUUAACAGUUGUUCCACAUUUGCCUGAUGUUCAACACAGGUGAAAGGCUGUGGCGAGGCGAUAUUGAAUAGAUAUUCUGCUGAAUGCAUUUAGAAGUUAUGGUUUCAUCACUUGUUUUGCCACAUUUUCUUAUUUUCAUCAUAUCUUUAUGUCAUUCCACCUUCUAUUUAUUUCUUAUUGUCUGUUGUCUUGUGUUUUCACUAUCAUAUUAUGUUGUUGUAGUUAUUGUGUAUUACUAUCUGUUAAUAGCUAAAGUUUGUUUCUUCUAUGCAAGUAUUUCUUCUGUGCAAGUAUGAAUCAGUUCAAGCCUAUUUUCUUCGGUAUUGUAUACCUUAAUAGUCUAUUGAGCAAACUUAAGCGUGCCUACGAUACACAGAAGUGUAUUCGUGCUGGUGGCAAAAAUAAUGAUCUAUAUGAUGUUGGUAAGGACACUUACCACCACACUUUCUUUGCGAUGCUUGGUAAUUGGUCAUUUGGGGUUUAUUUCAAGAAAGAGGCCAUUGAAUGAGCUUGGGAACUCUUUACACAGGCAAGUUUUAUCCCGAUUAAUAGUAAUAUUCUUGUACGUUUUCAGUUGUGCUCCUAGCAUAUAUGUUGUAUGAUCAAAAAAUGGCAGAUGUUGACUUGUAUAAAUUAUUUUUCCUUGUUUGAUGAUUUUUGUCCAGAUAUAUAGACUGUCAAGUGAAAGGAUUUACGCUACUUAUUUUGACGGUGAUGAAAAAUUUGGCCUUCCAGCUGAUAACGAAGCUAGAGACCUAUGGCUUCAGUUCCUUUGUCCUAGCAGGGGGCUACCUUUUAGCUGUAAAGACAACUUUUGGGAGAUGGGUGAUACCAGACCUUGUGGACCCUGCACUGAAAUACACUUUGAUAGAAUUAGGAGUUGUGAUGUUGCAUCAUUUGUUAAUAAUGAUGAUCCCACUAUGAUUGAGACAUGGAACCUUGUCUUUAUUUAGAUCAAUUGGAGGGUUCACAACCUAUUUUGACUUUCUCAAGCCAUUUUGAUAAACAACCUCACUACAACGUUCUGAAAGAAAUGUUCAUGCAGGU